rnacentral:lncRNA from 1 species
UUGACAAUUUCAUAUUCAGACCCACUACGUUAUCAUACGACAGAACCAUAAUGAAUUAUCCUGUUACUUCGAUAUACAGAGCUGUUGGAAAAAUUCCACGUAAAUAUUUCUCCGUUUGAAGAUCCCAACAAAGAGAGCAGAGAGGAAUGUUGAGGUGGUGAAGGAAGCCGAGGACCUGGUGGCUGGUAGCCAUGUGAGGCACGGUCGUGGGCACAGUGUGCACAUAGAAAGAAAGAAAAGCGAGACAUGAUUAUUAUUGAUGAUCAAUUUAUCGAACGCAGCAGCAAGCAACACAAAGGCCUUUUUACUGAUGGAGAAAGACCAGUGCGAUCACAACCAUGCACAUGGCCGACACGCACAUACACACUUAACACACUUUUGUGUGGUGUGGGCAUAAGAAUUGAGAACUUGCAUUUGCCUGUUUAAAACCUUUUUCCAGUUUUAAGCCCCCCAGGCAUUUGCGUUCAUGACAAAAUCCAAAAG